CCCCAGGGGCAGAGGGAGUGCUUCUGCAGGACACUGCCAUCGGAAGGCAAAAGUGUCAAAGCACGACUCAUUGCAGGAAGAAGAACAGAGAGAAGGAGGGGGGGGAGGAGAAGCCGUCCGCAACAAGAAAUUCAACUUUAUUGAUUGGAUGAUUUUUGAAGACAAACAGGAAAGAAAAAUUGUGACGAAAUAAAGGUACAAGAUCGGAGGUCUCAGACCUCGGGGGUGGGGGCUGGAGAACUCGGCGUCCCCGGCAAGGGGGCUGCGACAGCAGUGGCGGCUGGCGAGGGACUGGUCUCGUCUUCAGACUCUUCGCCUAGGAAGCUGAGGUCGAGCUCUAGAAAUUUUUUAGCCACCUUCUCUUGGCAGAGCUCGAACCCCCUUAUGAACGCUUCCUGGCCAAAUUGGACCUUCAGGUCCCUCAUCUCUGCGGAGGCCUUGAAUUCCUCUACCGCAAGGACUCUGGCCUCCGAGACCAGGACCGAAAUUUGCUCGGCCAAGUUGGCGACCUCGGCCUCCGCCUUUCUCGCUGAUUCCUCCAAGGUCUGCCUCUCCUCCUCC
rnacentral:lncRNA from 1 species